AGAAAAAAGAAAAGAAGGACAUCAAGUACUAGUUGCAAUACAUACUAGUAUAAUAAUUAUGCAUAACUUAAUCUACCCUAGUACCUCUUAUUUAUUUUUCAUAUGCGAUGUUCUCUUUCCGACAAUGCCUAUUGUUGAUAAUUA
rnacentral:ribozyme from 1 species